GUAAGGCCACACCAAUUUGAUUCCUUGUUCGACGGACCCGCCCGCACUAUUUUUUUUCAAAACAGAUUUUUUUUAUUUUUUUUAUAUUCCCGCUUCCCGCAUCCGGAAAUGUAAACAUGUCUAUUUCCCGCACCGUUUUUUUGAAAAUAUUAUAAAAAGAUAUCAACAUUGGUUUCUUUCCCCCUUACUUAUAUUCCCUAUCCAAAAUGUUCCGUUGUUAGAAUAAAGUACAACGAACUUCUGAAGGAUUUGCCUUCAACUGCAAUUAUAUUGUAUGCUGGCAAAACAAAACUAUCUAUAGCCGCUGCAUGUUUAUGCACCUGUCCUGAUUGAUUCAGGGCCUGUCGUUCAGCAGUUAUUAUCGUUUGUUGAUGUUGUUCAUUGG
rnacentral:lncRNA from 1 species